AGCAGCCGCGGUAAUUCCAGCUCCAAUAGCGUAUAUUAAAGUUGUUGCAGUUAAAAAGCUCGUAGUUGAAUUUCGGGAUCAAUAUAUCGGUCGUGCCUUGGUACGUACUGGUAUCAUUGGUUUCUCCUUUCUGACGAACCAUGAUGUCAUUAAUUUGGUGUUAUGGGAAGUUAGGACUGUUACUUUGAAAAAAUUAGAGUGUUUAAAGCAGGCUUUAGCUUGAAUACAUUAGCAUGGAAUAAUGAAAUAGGACGUUCGAACCUAUUUUGUUGGUUUCUAGGAUCAACGUAAUGAUUAAUAGGGAUAGUUGGGGGCAUUAGUAUUCAAUUGUCAGAGGUGAAAUUCUUGGAUUUAUUGAAGACUAACUACUGCGAAAGCAUUUUGCCAAGGAUGUUUUCAUUAAUCAAGAACGAAAGUUAGGGGAUCGAAGACGAUCAGAUACCGUCGUAGUCUUAACCAUAAACUAUGCCGACUAGGGAUCGGAUGAUGUUAAUUUUUUAAUGACUCAUUCGGCGCCUUA
rnacentral:misc_RNA from 1 species